rnacentral:rRNA from 1 species
CGCGCUGUUCUAUUUUGUUGGUUUCUAGGACCGCCGUAAUGAUUAAUAGGGACAGUCGGGGGCAUCAGUAUCAAUUGUCAGAGGUGAAAUUCUUGGAUUUAUUGAAGACUAACUACUGCGAAAGCAUCUGCCAAGGAUGUUUUCAUUAAUCAGGAACGAAAGUUGGGGGAUCGAAGACGAUCAGAUACCGUCGUAGUCUUAACCGUAAACGAUGCCNACUAGGGAUCGGACGGUGUUAUUACUUGACCCGUUCGGCACCUUACGAGAAAUCAAAGUGCUUGGGCUCCAGGGGGAGUAUGGUCGCAAGGCUGAAACUUAAAGAAAUUGACGGAAGGGCACCACCAGGGGUGGAGCCUGCGGCUUAAUUUGACUCAACACGGGGAAACUCACCAGGUCCAGACACAAUGAGGAUUGACAGAUUGAGAGCUCUUUCUUGAUUUUGUGGGUGGUGGUGCAUGGCCGUUCUUAGUUCGUGGGGUGACUUGGCAGUUUAAUUACGAUAACGAACGAGACCUUAACCUACUAACUAGCCCGUAUUGCUUUGGCAGUACGCUGGCUUCUUAGAGGGACUCUCGGUGCAAGCCGAGGGAAGUUUGAGGCAAUAACAGGU